rnacentral:rRNA from 1 species
AGAGUUUGAUCCUGGCUCAGGACGAACGCUGGCGGCGUGCCUAACACAUGCAAGUCGAACGAUUUAGCAUUUGAGCUUGCUUGAAUGCUGGAUAGUGGCGGACGGGUGAGUAACGCGUGAGCAACCUGCCUUUUUGAGGGGGAUAACACCGGGAAACCGGAGCUAAUACCGCAUAAAAUAUUGAAAUCGCAUGGUAUCGAUAUCAAAGGAGCAAUCCGCAGAAAGAUGGACUCGCGUCCGAUUAGCUAGUUGGAGGGGUAACGGCCCACCAAGGCGACGAUCGGUAGCCGGACUGAGAGGUUGAACGGCCACAUUGGGACUGAGACACGGCCCAGACUCCUACGGGAGGCAGCAGUGGGGGAUAUUGCACAAUGGGGGAAACCCUGAUGCAGCAACGCCGCGUGAGGGAAGAAGGUUUUCGGAUUGUAAACCUCUGUCCUAGGUGAAGAUAAUGACGGUAACCUGGGAGGAAGCUCCGGCUAACUACGUG